rnacentral:misc_RNA from 1 species
UUUUUGUUUCUUUUCCAAAAAGAUGAUUUAUCAGCUAUAAUAGAAUACAAAGAAUUGCCAAGCGAAAUACACAACGCAAAAGGAGAAAGGAAACUUUCCAUUAUUGAAGUAUACUAGUAGAAACAGAGAAUAUGAAUCUAUGUUCCUGUCUGACAAACAAGGAACUGAGCCUGAUAAACUUGAUUGUAAUUUCUACAAUGUUUCAUUGCAAACCUGACCUACUGAAGCCAAGGUGUGAAGUCUUGUUCUAUGCCCCUGUUACGCAUUAGGAAUCACUCUAACUUCUAUUGCUAUUAUCGCCUUGAUCUCAUGAUUGAUCCCUCUGCUC